UACGAAGGGGGCUAGCGUUGCUCGGAAUUACUGGGCGUAAAGCGCACGUAGGCGGCUUCUUAAGUCGGUGGUGAAAUCCUGGAGCUCAACUCCAGAACUGCCUUCGAUACUGGGAAGCUCGAGUCCGGGAGAGGUGAGUGGAACUGCGAGUGUAGAGGUGAAAUUCGUAGAUAUUCGCAAGAACACCAGUGGCGAAGGCGGCUCACUGGCACGGUACUGACGCUGAGGUGCGAAAGCGUGGGGAGCAAACAGG
rnacentral:rRNA from 1 species